UGAAUCAAAACUUUCAACAACGGAUCUCUUGGUUCUGGCAUCGAUGAAGAACGCAGCGAAAUGCGAUAAGUAAUGUGAAUUGCAGAAUUCAGUGAAUCAUCGAAUCUUUGAACGCACAUUGCGCCCUCUGGUAUUCCAGAGGGCAUGCCUGUUCGAGCGU
rnacentral:rRNA from 1 species